AUUGAACGCUGGCGGCAUGCUUUACACAUGCAAGUCGAACGGUAACAGGCCUUCGGGUGCUGACGAGUGGCGAACGGGUGAGUAAUGCAUCGGAACGUACCCAGAGGUGGGGGAUAACGCAGCGAAAGCUGUGCUAAUACCGCAUGUGAUCUGAGGAUGAAAGCGGGGGACCGAGCAGCAAUGUUUGGCCUCGCGCCUUUGGAGCGGCCGAUGUCGGAUUAGCUAGUUGGUGGGGUAAAGGCCUACCAAGGCGACGAUCCGUAGCUGGUCUGAGAGGACGACCAGCCACACUGGGACUGAGACACGGCCCAGACUCCUACGGUAGGCAGCAGUGGGGAAUUUUGGACAAUGGGCGCAAGCCUGAUCCAGCAAUGCCGCGUGCGGGAAGAAGGCCUUCGGGUUGUAAACCGCUUUUGGCAGGAACGAAACGGUGUCCGCUAAUACCGGGCGCUAAUGACGGUACCUGCAGAAUAAGCACCGGCUAACUACGUG
rnacentral:rRNA from 1 species